GUGGGGGAUAUUGCACAAUGGGGGAAACCCUGAUGCAGCGACGCCGCGUGAAGGAAGACGUACUUCGGUAUGUAAACUUCUAUCAGCAGGGAAGAAGAUGACGGUACCUGACUAAGAAGCCCCGGCUAACUACGUGCCAGCAGCCGCGGUAAUACGUAGGGGGCAAGCGUUAUCCGGAUUUACUGGGUGUAAAGGGAGCGUAGACGGUGAAGCAAGUCUGAUGUGAAAACCCGGGGCUCAACUCCGGGAUUGCAUUGGAAACCGUUUUACUUGAGUGCUGGAGGGGCAAGCAGAAUUCCUGGUGUAGCGGUGAAAUGCGUAGAUAUCAGGAAGAACACCGGUGGCGAAGGCGGCUUGCUGGACAGUAACUGACGUUGAGGCUCGAAAGCGUGGGGAGCAAACAGGAUUAGAUACCCGGGUAGUCC
rnacentral:rRNA from 1 species